ACGGGUGAGUAAUACAUCGGAACGUAUCCUGGAGUGGGGGAUAGCCUGGCGAAAGCCGGAUUAAUACCGCAUACGCUCUGAGGAGGAAAGCGGGGGACCUUCGGGCCUCGCGCUCAAGGGGCGGCCGAUGGCGGAUUAGGUAGUUGGUGGGGUAAAGGCCUACCAAGCCGACGAUCCGUAGCUGGUCUGAGAGGACGACCAGCCACACUGGGACUGAGACACGGCCCAGACUCCUACGGGAGGCAGCAGUGGGGAAUUUUGGACAAUGGGGGCAACCCUGAUCCAGCAAUGCCGCGUGUGUGAAGAAGGCCUUCGGGUUGUAAAGCACUUUUGUCCGGAAAGAAAUCAUCGGGGCCAAUACCCCUGGUGGAUGACGGUACCGGAAGAAUAAGCACCGGCUAACUACGUGCCAGCAGCCGCGGUAAUACGUAGGGUGCGAGCGUUAAUCGGAAUUACUGGGCGUAAAGCGUGCGCAGGCGGUGCUGUAAGACCGAUGUGAAAUCCCCGGGCUUAACCUGGGAACUGCAUUGGUGACUGCAGCGCUGGAGUAUGGCAGAGGGGGGUGGAAUUCCACGU
rnacentral:rRNA from 1 species